rnacentral:rRNA from 1 species
AUACGGAGGGUGCAAGCGUUAAUCGGAAUAACUGGGCGUAAAGCGCACGCAGGCGGUCAGCUAAGUCAGAUGUGAAAUCCCCGGGCUCAACCUGGGAACUGCAUUUGAAACUGUCUGACUAGAGUCUUGUAGAGGGGGGUAGAAUUCCAGGUGUAGCGGUGAAAUGCGUAGAGAUCUGGAGGAAUACCGGUGGCGAAGGCGGCCCCCUGGACAAAGACUGACGCUCAGGUGCGAAAGCGUGGGUAGC